rnacentral:rRNA from 1 species
UACGUAGGGGGCAAGCGUUGUCCGGAUUUAUUGGGCGUAAAGAGCUCGUAGGCGGUCUGUCGCGUCGGCUGUGAAAACUUGGGGCUCAACCCCAAGCCUGCAGUCGAUACGGGCAGACUAGAGUCCGGCAGGGGAGACUGGAAUUCCUGGUGUAGCGGUGAAAUGCGCAGAUAUCAGGAGGAACACCGGUGGCGAAGGCGGGUCUCUGGGCCGGAACUGACGCUGAGGAGCGAAAGCGUGGGGAGCGAACAGG